GACGAACGCUGGCGGCGCGCCUAACACAUGCAAGUCGAACGAGCGAGAGAGAGCUUGCUUUCUCGAGCGAGUGGCGAACGGGUGAGUAACGCGUGAGGAACCUGCCUCAAAGAGGGGGACAACAGUUGGAAACGACUGCUAAUACCCCAUAAGACCACAGCACCGCAUGGUGCAGGGGUAAAAACUCCGGUGGUAUGAGAUGGACCCGCGUCUGAUUAGGUAGUUGGUGGGGUAACGGCCUACCAAGCCGACGAUCAGUAGCCGACCUGAGAGGGUGACCGGCCACAUUGGGACUGAGACACGGCCCAA
rnacentral:rRNA from 1 species